rnacentral:rRNA from 1 species
UCCAGACUCCUACGGGAGGCAGCAGUGGGGAAUAUUGCACAAUGGGGGAAACCCUGAUGCAGCGGCGCCGCGUGAGUGAAGAAGUAAUUCGUUAUGUAAAGCUCUAUCAGCAGGGAAGAAAAUGACGGUACCUGAGUAAGAAGCCCCGGCUAACUACGUGCCAGCAGCCGCGGUAAUACGUAGGGGGCAAGCGUUAUCCGGAUUUACUGGGUGUAAAGGGAGCGUAGACGGCAGUGCAAGUCUGGAGUGAAAGCCCGGGGCCCAACCCCGGGACUGCUCUUGGAACUGCGUGGCUGGAGUGCAGGAGGGGCAGGCGGAAUUCCUGGUGUAGCGGUGAAAUGCGUAGAUAUCAGGAGGAACACCGGUGGCGAAGGCGGCCUGCUGGACUGCAACUGACGUUGAGGCCCGAAAGCGUGGGGAGCAAACAGGAUUAGAUACCCGAGUAAG